GGGCUAUAGCUCAGCUGGGAGAGCGCCUGCUUUGCACGCAGGAGGUCUGCGGUUCGAUCCCGCAUAGCUC
rnacentral:tRNA from 1 species